rnacentral:rRNA from 1 species
GACGAACGCUGGCGGCGUGCUUAACACAUGCAAGUCGAACGGAAAGGCCCUGCUUUUGUGGGGUGCUCGAGUGGCGAACGGGUGAGUAACACGUGAGUAACCUGCCCUUGACUUUGGGAUAACUUCAGGAAACUGGGGCUAAUACCGGAUAGGAGCUCCUGCUGCAUGGUGGGGGUUGGAAAGUUUCGGCGGUUGGGGAUGGACUCGCGGCUUAUCAGCUUGUUGGUGGGGUAGUGGCUUACCAAGGCUUUGACGGGUAGCCGGCCUGAGAAGGUGACCGGCCACAUUGGGACUGCGAUACGGCCCAGACUCCUACGGGAGGCAGCAGUGGGGAAUAUUGCACAAUGGGCGGAAGCCUGAUGCAGCAACGCCGCGUGCGGGAUGACGGCCUUCGGGUUGUAAACCGCUUUCGCCUGUGACGAAGCGUGAGUGACGGUAAUGGGUAAAGAAGCACCGGCUAACUACGUG